AGUCAGCCGACUGGCUAGCUGUAUCAUUCUCAGGUUAGCCAACAACAAGCGAAAAAGUAAAGCCAGAGCAGCGACAGAUAUUAGCGUUAUACGUUAACUUUUACCUUAGAAUAAAAAAACACCUUUUCCGGAGUAACAGGGUAGCAGGACAGCGGGAUUUGAUCUUCCAAGGGUACAUCGAUUUUGUCUAAUUUGGCCACAUCAACGUAUCUAUACCAUGGAGCUUCCUCAUCUGGGCGAGCACUGUACAGAAAAUACCUGCAAGCGCUUAGAUUUUCUUCCGAUGAAAUGUGACGCCUGUGAGGACAUUUUCUGUAAAGACCACAUAACUUAUGCAAACCACAAAUGCACGUCGGCUUACAUGAAGGAUAUCCAGGUCCCUGUGUGUCCCUUGUGCAACAUUCCCAUUCCCAUCAAACGAGGAGAAAUGCCCGACAUCAGAGUCGGAGAACACAUCGAUCGGGACUGCAAGUCGGAUCCUGCUCAGCGAAAAAGAAAGAUCUUCACAAAUAAGUGUUCACGCGGGGGCUGUAAGCAGAAGGAGAUGAUCCGUGUGACGUGCGACCAGUGCCACCUCAACUACUGUCUUAAACACCGGCACCCGCUAGACCAUGACUGUAAAACAGACGGCAAGCCGUCCUCCAAAUCUGGGAAUGCUGCUUUAUCGAGGGCCCAAGGGGUCCCCUCCCACUCUGCCUCCGGCUCCAGCUCCUCCAGUCAGGGUCUCUCCAGGCCUGCCUCGUACAGUGCCAGCACAGCCUCCGCCCGGAGCCACAACAGUGGCAGUGCAUCCCGACGAAUUCCCACGUCAGUGUCCGCCCCUUCAGCACAGAAUGUAAUUCCAGCCUCGGCUUCCUUCCAGGCGGGCCUGACGGAGGAACAGGCCUUACAGAGGGCACUGGAGAUGUCCCUGGCCGAGUCGAGACCAGCACCUAGCCUCAGGUGCGUCGGAAUCUGUGCUCCUUGGGUUUUAUUUUACUGAAACAUUGGGUAUCCUAGAAAAUGAGGGAGGAUGAUGAUGAUGACGAAGGUGGUUAUUGUGCAGCCCCCAGGAGCAGGAGGAUCAGGCCCUGGCUCAGGCUCUGGCCGCCAGCCAAGAAGAAUUCCGGCGCCAGCAGCAGAGACAGCAGGUGAGAGAAACCAAAAACUCGACCUGCAGUCUAUCAUAAAGCUGGAUUCCUGCUAUCACCCUUGUCCUACACAUGACAAAAUGGGACACAGAGAUUCAGCAGAAGAGCGUUAUUGCUAUUCUUAACUGAUGACAGAAAUUCUUGAAAAUUGCCGAUAUUACCGCCUUCCAAUGUAAGCACAUACUGCACCAUCAGGAUAUGUCAUUUUUACCAAUGAGUUGCUCUGUACAUAUUUUAUAUGCUAAUCAUGUAACAAAAUAUCCACAUAAAUGAAGAAUAAAUUAUUUUAAAGAGA